CCAGGCUUGAGUCAGCCUGGCCCCACUUCUUGAACUUCUGAUGGAAUAGACUAGAAAUGCCAGUUCUGCACUAUGAAUGAAAAUUGUCGUCUUUUAAUUUUGUUUCUGAUUUGACCAGCACAAGAUACCUUAGCACUCUGAGUGACCAUGUGACAGACUUUCUCCUUCACAGGAUGAGUGGUCCUCACCCAUCACCAGACACAUUCCAGAUAACAACAAUGAUAGCAUCUUGUUUCAGGAAAUGUAGCUUUGAUGGACAAAUGAGGUUCCUUCCUUAAUUAGCUGGAAUCUUUGGAGAGCGUGGAGAUAUUAAUGGCAGAUGUUCUCAAACUGACAGAUAGCUCAGAGGGAGAAAGGAGAAGCAAAACACGAGAACCUCUGUGGUCAGUGUUAGUCAUCAGCCUAUGACAUGUUUUGAUACAACACAGCAAAAACUGAAGCCAUCAGGGAUGUUUUAUGACAUUUUGCUUCUGAAACAGAAUUUCUUCUCUCAAUACAUACAUCAUUUGAGACAUUCUUCAAAGUUUGCCCUUUUCCAAGGUGUCUGCAUGGAUGAUGGAUGCACGGACUGGCUGCACAUUCGUGGUGAUCUGUGGUAAUUGAUAAAAUGCACACACACAUAUAAGCUUCAAGAUUAAAUAUGUUAAGUAGAAUUCAUGAUUCAUUUGUUGAAUGGCUAUAACUUGUUUUGGUAACAUUUCAGAUAAGCCUGCUUUUCAGCAGUGUGUCACUUAACUCAGAAAUUACAUUUAUAUAAAUGGAUUAUGGCUAAAAAAUUGAGCAUUCCUGAAAUCAGAAAUCUGAAUGAAAUACAACUAUCAGCACUUCAGCAACAUCUGACCUUUUCAAAAGGCAGCUAACUGCUGGUACAUAACUGCCAAACCCCAGAAAAUUUCAUACUAAAAUAUGUAAAGCAGACUAAAGCUGCCAUUAACAAAUCACAGAAACAAGUCAGGCAGCUCUUAGAGUUACUUCUGUAAUGAAUAUACUGGGGACGACACAGA
rnacentral:lncRNA from 1 species